rnacentral:rRNA from 1 species
AUUGAACGCUGGCGGAAUGCUUUACACAUGCAAGUCGAGCGGCAGCGCGGGGGCAACCCUGGCGGCGAGCGGCGAACGGGUGAGUAACAUAUCGGAACGUACCCAGUCGUGGGGGAUAACUAUCCGAAAGGAUAGCUAAUACCGCAUAUGCCCUGAGGGGGAAAGCGGGGGAUUCGCAAGAACCUCGCGUUUUCGGAGCGGCCGAUAUCGGAUUAGCUAGUAGGUGAGGUAAAGGCUCACCUAGGCGACGAUCCGUAGCUGGUCUGAGAGGACGACCCGCCACACUGGAACUGAGACACGGUCCAGACUCCUACGGGAGGCAGCAGUGGGGAAUUUUGGACAAUGGGGGCAACCCUGAUCCAGCCAUUCCGCGUGAGUGAAGAAGGCCUCGGUUGGUAAGACGUCUUCGUCCGGAGAAGUACGCACGGUAAGUACCCUGUGUGGAUGACGGUACCGG